AGACAUGUCUUACAUGGCAGCAGGUAAGAGAGAGAAUGAGAGACAAGUGAAAGGGGUUUCCCCUUACAAAACUGUCAGAUCUUGUGAGAGUUAGUCACUGCCGUGAGAACAGUAUGGGGGAACUGCCCCCAAGGUUCAAUUGUCUCCCACUGGGUUUCUCCCCCAGCACGUUGGAAUUAUGGGAGCUACAAUUCAAGAUGAGAUUUGGGUGGGGACGCAGCCAAAUCCUAUCACCUACCUUACUGGGUUGUUUCUGAAUCCUGGUGAAUUAACUUCAGUGGAGUGUUUAGACAGGCGCCUGCCACAAUCUUGAGCCCUUCAGGGGCUGAGGUUGAAUCUGGUACAACAUCUCUGCCUGUAUCUGGUGCCCAGCCUAGAAGCUGGUGUAGAUGAGGGGCCAGGAAAGGGAUGGAGGAUCCUGCAGCAUGGCCUGGGAAUUCAGGACUUCAACGACAAUGAAGAAGAAAUACUGCCAAGAGCUGAGGUACCACUGGCAUCACUUGGGCCUGUGCCAUUCUGCCCACAUCCCCUUGGAAGUACAGAAUGGAGUACAGAAUCCCCCUCCUAUCUGGACUAGGCAGGGAGUUGAGGUGUGAUGAGGCCUUGCCAGCCGCUCUUCAUGGUGGGAAUACAUUCAAAUCCAGCCUCACCUGGAUAUCCCCCAGUAUGAUGAGAAGAAUGGCCUGAACUGACCACAGCAGCAGACUCUGGGCUGGCUGGACAGUAAACAAGGGAAGACUGAGUUCUCUCCAUCCCACUCUUUCCAGUGAAGGAGCUGCACUGAAGCUCAGCUCCCCAUAGGACUGAAUACUUUCUCUUCUUGGUAAAGAGGCUACAAUAUCUCCUGAGCACUGAAGUCUCCAAGUACUGGACAGCUGGUAUUCCUAGGAAACUCCUGCAGGAUGCUAGUCCCUUGUAUCCAGUCACUCUGUGCCAAGAGGUCCGUUGUAUCCCCCAUGGAUAAAGUUGCUCUCAAAAUGGCACUUUCUAAAGUGGCAAGAGGGAGGAUCUCUCCACUGGAAUGGCAGACCCACCUUUACCUAUUCAAAGUGGUAUGGAAUUGUUCUAAACUCUGGUGCACAGCAGGCAGAGGCCAGAAGGGCUCUACCUUGCAGGAUCCUCCUAGCCCUGAGUCCCCAGUGCUCACAGGAUGAAGUUUGAGAUCCUUAGCCUGUCUCCCCAGUGCCUCCAUGAUCUGGCCUUGGCUAUUUCUCUGGCUCCCUGCACCCCUCCUUGCCCAUUUACUUAUAAUUCCUGAAUAUGCAUGCUGUUUUAGGUCUCUGAGGUUUUGCACAUGCUUGUCUUCUCGUCUAGAAUGUCUUUCUUCCAUCUUUCUCCUUGAUCCUGUACAGAGGAGAACUUCUAUUCAUCCUUCAAAAUGCCAUUAAAGUAUCACCUCCUCUCUGAAGGCCUCCUGGAUUCUUAUCACCUUUAUUCCAAGAUAUAUAUGAGUACGAGUUAAGAAAAAAUGGAUUCGUUUUAGCUCUUCAUUCUCCUUCCCCACUUCCAGGGAGGAGAGGCCAUUAUUAUUUAUUUCUUAUUAGAAAGACAAGAUGGAAGAAAGGAAGGAAGGAAA
rnacentral:lncRNA from 1 species